rnacentral:rRNA from 1 species
ACUCCUACGGGAGGCAGCAGUGGGGAAUAUUGCACAAUGGGCGCAAGCCUGAUGCAGCCAUGCCGCGUGUAUGAAGAAGGCCUUCGGGUUGUAAAGUACUUUCAGCAGUGAGGAAGGUGGAUAUGUUAAUAGCAUAUUCAUUUGACGUUAGCUGCAGAAGAAGCACCGGCUAACUCCGUGCCAGCAGCCGCGGUAAUACGGAGGGUGCGAGCGUUAAUCGGAAUUACUGGGCGUAAAGCGCAUGCAGGUGGUUUGUUAAGUCAGAUGUGAAAGCCCGGGGCUCAACCUCGGAAUUGCAUUUGAAACUGGCAAACUAGAGUACUGUAGAGGGGGGUAGAAUUUCAGGUGUAGCGGUGAAAUGCGUAGAGAUCUGAAGGAAUACCGGUGGCGAAGGCGGCCCCCUGGACAGAUACUGACACUCAGAUGCGAAAGCGUGGGGAGCAAACAGGAUUAGAACCCUGGUAGGCUCUGC